UCCUUUUUCAUCUUGUACUCUCAUUUAUGUCUCGUCUAUUUCUCCGGAGUUAUCUUUCGUUUACUCCAACAACUCUAGACAACUUAAUCAAAGGAGAUUCUUGAUUCCUUUGCUUAUUCGUUGAAUCCUUGUUUCCGUUUUUUUUUUUUACAUCCUAUGUUGCAUAACAUUUGGACUAUUCAAUUUUUAGCUUGACUACUACUCCCAAAUUUACGUAAAUAGUUGCAUUCACUUGCAUCAUAUGAGAUCACUCAUCGGUGCUCACGAAAUACAUGAGAUAUCUAAAGAAAUAGCCAAAAGAUUUAUUCGUAGGAUCAUGUUAUCGAUUAUCUCAAUGAAUACUUGGCAAACAUGCUCGCCAGAAAUUUUCUUAUCUUCAAUG
rnacentral:lncRNA from 1 species